CAGUUCGGAUUGCAGGCUGCAACUCGCCUGCAUGAAGCUGGAAUCGCUAGUAAUCGCGCAUCAGCAAUGGCGCGGUGAAUACGUUCCCGGACCUUGUACACACCGCCCGUCAAGCCAUGGAAGCCGGGUGUACCUAAAGUCAGUAACCGCAAGGAGCUGCCUAGGGUAAAAUCGGUAACUGGGGCUAAGUCGUAACAAGGUAGCCGUACCGGAAGGUGCGGCUGGAAUACCUCCUUUUUAGAGC
rnacentral:rRNA from 1 species